rnacentral:rRNA from 1 species
AUGCAGAGCCCACAGGGUUUUGACCUGAAAGCACCAAGCGGCGAAACGUGGCAUGUGGGUGUUAGCAAGGUUGGCAAUGACCUGUUCUUCAGCUCAGGAUGGGUAGAUUUUGCCAAGGCUCAUGAACUGCAGGAGAAUGACCUCCUGGUCUUCACAUUCAGUGGCAACUCUUUUGAGGUUCUGAUCUUCGACGCGAGCGGUUGCGAGAAACUGUCUUCUCUCUUCGCUGGCGCUGGUAUGCACAAACAUUUUGAUGGUAUGGUGGGUCAACAGGUUGAGCAAUACUCUCUUAGUGAUGAUUCUGAUUCUGAUGAUGAUGAUGACGACGACGAUGGUACAAGUGUGCCGUCUCAGUUGAUUGAGUCCCGUCAGAAUGUCUCCACUUUAAGGAAAUUCAGUAGCCGGAACAAACCAAGGAAAGAUCUUCUUCCUGGAUCACCAAACUGUAGCAGCUCAUGUGAUGUUAAGCAUGAGGAAACUGAGGAAGAGGAGAGUGAUGAUGACACAUAUGCUGACUUCGACUACUGCUACUCGAGGGUUGUGAAGCAACUACCCGACGAUGAAAAACAUGAAAUAAUCGGGCUGACUUCGCUGCAACGGGGCAAUCCAGCGUUCAUGACAGUUCUUCUGAGGGCCCACCUGCAACGCAAGGACAACUUUCUGGUCAUCCCCAGUGAAUUUGUACACGAACAUCUUCACAUGAGAUCACAUGAAGUGCUGCUGCUCAGGCCAAACAGAGAAGAGAGGUGGCAUGUCAGCUACUACCAGGGGAGCUCCAGCAAAGGCUUCAGGGGCCAACCCUGGGUCAAGUUCAUCCGCGACAACAAACUGCACAAGGGGGAUAUCUGCGUCUUCGAGCUGAUCAAAGGCGCGAGGAAUGAGAACAAGAAGGCCGGGACGACGAUGACCGUCCAUGUUGUCAGGAGGAAGAAGUCCGACGGUCGGUUUGCCUUAGUGGGCUAA